CGGGGACGUCUGACUCACCCCAUCAGCUGAUGCCAUGUGCUGAAAAACACCACCCUUCAUCCAAUGUUUUUAUCAGGCCUGGAAGACCUUUGCGCUUGGGCUGGGUGCGGUGUGUUUACAUUUCCCUGUUUAUCCAAGGUAACAGAGAAGGCCACGAGGGGAGCAGGGAGUGGUAAAGCCAGUUUCAGUGCUUUACGGUCUCGGCCCUCAGCCCUCAGGCAGGGUCUACCUAUUUAAAGGGUGCUGGAGGGCUGGUCUUACCAUCCCAAGGAGAGCCGUGCCGAGGACAGCAAUCGGGGCUGCUGCUGGAAGAGGUGCGGAUCCUCUCUGCUCGCCAAAGCGGAGCUUGGAGGCRGCAGGAGGAUGUGGAACCCCAACCAAGGAACACCUGGAGGGGUGCCACCACCACAAGCCCCUGCAACCUAUCCUGGCUACCCUCCAGCACCAUCUGCCCCCCCUGCGGCUCAUCCCAUGGGACCCCCGGGUGGCUACCCCUGUGGUCCCCCUCCGCCUGGCCCCCACCCACCAGGGCCUCACCCCCAUGGGCACCACCCACCAGGGCAUCACCACCACGGGCACCACCCACCAGGGCAUCACCACCAUGGGCCCCACCCACCAUGCCCACCUGACUGCCAUCAGAAGCAUCAUAAGAAGCACAAGAAGAAACACUCGAAGUCCAGCCAUAAGCACCAUGGAGGCAAGGUAAGGAGGAAGAGGUCCCGCUCUGAUCUUCUUGUACAAUCCUAUAGUCAUCCCACACAUGCUGUAGCUCUCUAGGCAGGUUUGUCUGGGCUAGAGAUGUUGUGGUGAUGUAUUGAAACAUCAGCCAUGUCAUUUUUUGAAGUCAUUCCAAACAGUAGGACUGACACAGCUCAAUGCACCAGAGGAGCCCUGACACACAUAUCAGAUGUACUGAAUCCCAGGACUUCCUUCUGCUUACCAGUGGGCCAUGCCUUUAUAAGGCUCAGUGUCCUUCAUCACAGAAGCAGUUCARUUCCCUCUUCAGAUUCACUACUGUGGAGCCACUUAUUUCCCAGAGAAUUUCUUUUUCCCUUUUUGUUUUUGAGGAUUUUUAAGUGUACACUUUUCUCCAAAAAAUGUGGUAAUUUCAAUAGUCAUUGAAAGCAUUUCUUUGUUUUCCUUCCUCAGCCUUUGGAGAGUUGGUUUUUGCCUUUCAAAGGCUGGUAAGGAGUUCGCUUAAGAAUUGCCCAUGGACUACUUCUGCGUCGAACACAGAAUGUAAAUGGUGCCAGAUUGUAGCGCUAAAUACUCUUGCUAUAGCGUACAUGAAGUACUCAAGUGUUCGUAGAAUGAGGGCUUCACUGCAAUGGGGAGCUAGCAGAAGGUACACUUCAUGUGCAGCUGUACAGGUUAAAAACAUCUGUAUCUACACAUAUCAUGUCAAGCAUCUAAAGAACAACCUAGUCUUGCACCACAAGACUGACCUGACCCCUUUGUGGCCUCUCCACUGGGACAGAGAGGAAACAUGACGUAAACACCAUGUCCACGUGGAGCGAGAAGAUCCUCCCAAAUGCUUCUGGGAGGCCUGCAGAAAGUGCCCUCUCAGUGACUGGCACCAUCUGGAGGAGGUUUGAUUGAGGGGCUGCUGAACAAAAACCCCAGUUCCACCACCAGACAAGCAUUUUGCAAACAAACCAAACCAUGAACUCCUCUUGGCAUUUGGGUUUGGAAAGUUAUCUGCCUUGACAUUUGCCCUCACUGACAGAAAGCAGAAGUCUUCUGGAAUUUAAUUAGCCCGAACAUCUUUUUUAAAUACCCCCCUUCCCCCCCAMCCCCAGCCCUCCCACUAUGUGCCUGUAAUUAUAUUCUCCAAAUGCUGUGGCAGAAAACACUGUGGUUUUGGUUUCCAACUCUAUAAUKUGGUUGAAAGCCAGGAAACUGUAACAGUAUCAGAAUAAAUGUUGCAUACUGAUUUUAUUAGGAGCCA
rnacentral:lncRNA from 1 species